CGAAACCGCGAAUGGCUCAUUAAAUCAGUUAUGAUUUUUUAGAUCGUACCUAACUACUUGGAUAACUGUGGCAAUUCUAGAGCUAAUACAUGCAUCAGAGCUCCGACCUUCGGGGACGAGCGCUUUUAUUAGUUACAAUCAAUCGGGCCUCGGCUCGUUUUGUGUGGUGACUCUGUAUAACUUUGGGCUGAUCGCACGGGCUCGUCCCGGCGACGUAUCUUUCAAGUUUCUGCCUUAUCAACUGUCGAUGGUAGGUUACGUGCCUACCAUGGUCGCAACGGGUGACGGGGGAUCAGGGUUCGAUUCCGGAGAGGGAGCCUGAGAAACGGCUACCACAUCCAAGGAAGGCAGCAGGCGCGCAAAUUACCCACUCCCGGAACGGGGAGGUAGUGACGAAAAAUAACAAUACGGGACUCUUUUGAGACCCCGUAAUUGGAAUGAGUACACUCUAAAUCCUUUAACGAGGAUCAAUUGGAGGGCAAAUCAGGUGCCAGCAUCCGCGGUAAAACCUGUUCCAAUAGCUUAUAUUAAUGUUGUUGCGGUUAAAAAGCUCGUAGUUGGAUCUCAGUUCCAGACGGGAGGUCCACCUUCCGGUGGUUACUUCCCGGACUGAACAGCCAGCCGGUUUCCCCCGAUGAUCUUCACCGGUUGUCCCGGGUGACCGGCAAGUUUACUUUGAAAAAAUUAGGGUGCUCAAAGCAGGCGCGACGCCUAGAUAAUGGUGCAUGGAAUAAUGGAAUAGGACCUCGGUUCUAUUUUGUUGGUUUUCGGAACCCGAGGUAAUGAUUAAGAGGGACAGACGGGGGCAUCCGUACUGCGACGCUAGAGGUGAAAUUCUUGGACCGUCGCAAGACGAACUACUGCGAAAGCAUUUGCCAAGAAUGUUUCCAUUAAUCAAGAACGAAAGUUAGAGGUUCGAAGGCGAUCAGAUACCGCCCUAGUUCUAACCAUAAACGAUGCCAGCCAGCGAUCCGGCUGUGUUUCUCAAACGACACGCCGGGCAGCUUCCGGGAAACCAAAGCCUUUGGGUUCCGGGGGGAGUAUGGUUGCAAAGCUGAAACUUAAAGGAAUUGACGGAGGCGCACACAAACGAUGGAUCCUGCGGCUCAAUUUGACUCAACACGGGGUAGUCCACCUGGCCCGGACACAGGAAGGAUUGACAGAUUAAGAGCUCUUUCUUGAUUCUGUGAAUGGUGGUGCAUGGCCGCUCUUAGUUCGUAGAGCAAUUCGUCUGGUUGAUUCCGAUAACGAACGCGACUCUAGCCUGCUAAAUAGACGUUCCGAUCCUCUCGUGGUUGGACGUUCUUCUUAGAGGGACGGGUGGCAUCUAGCCGCACGAAACAGAGCAAUAGCAGGUCUGUUAUGCCCCUAGAUGCUCGGGGCUGCACGCGCGAUACAUUGAAGUAAUCAGCAUGUGAUCUCCAUCUCUGACAAGAGUUGGAAACCAUCUGAAAUUACUUCGUGAUAGGGAUUGAAAAUUGACACUAUUUUUCAUGAACGAGGAAUCGUUAGUAAGCGCGAGUCAUCAACUCGCUGUUGAUUAGGUCCCUGCGCCUUGUUCACACCGCCCGUCGCUGAUAGCGAUUGAAAAGUUUAGUGAGGUCUUCAGAUUGGCUUUCGGAAAAACUUUUGUUGAUCCGUCGUGCUGAAAAGAUGACCAAACUUGACCUUUUAGAGGUAUCAGA
rnacentral:rRNA from 1 species